ACUUAUUUAUCAAUUAAUUAUAUUUAAUUGUAUAUUACUGAUUAUCUAUACUUAAUAUUUUUAAAAGAUCGUUAUUUAUAUUAGAGUUACUUUAAGUUCUACUAGGUAAUAAACCUAUUCCUUAUCCCACCACAGCAUUUUUAUAAAACUAUAUAAAAAAAACUUAAUGAGUUUCAAACGGUUUUAUUAAGAACCAUAAAUAAAGUAUAAAAUGUAAAAUGUACAAAUUUUCUAAUUUUAAAUUUAGAAUUAGAGUGAAAUGACUAGUAAUAAUAUUUAAAGUAUAAAGAUAAGAGCAUAUUGUAUUUUCUCCACAUUUCUGUUUAUAGGAGAAGUAUUAGCUUCUUUAAAUGUAGGUACGAGGUACCUAAUAUUUCAUGUAAUCAUAACAUUCAUGACCUCGAUUAAAAAUUGAAGUAUUUGUCAAUAAACCAUUUAUUAAAUUCAGAUAAUGUCCAUCUUAAUGAUUUUAAAUGAACCAUUUUAGUGCUUUUAUUAACAAAUACUAUUGACGCGAAAACAAAUAAUACUAAUAGAAUAAUAAAUUCCUAUGUAAUUAUUUUUCAAUUUACAUUUAUAUUGAAUAAUUCAAAUUUAAAGCAAAUUUUGAAAGAUUCAAAAUGCAUUUAAAACCAAAAAAAUAUACAAAAAUGUUUUUUACAUUUUUUUUCAACACAAAAUAACAAAAAUUAACAAAAAAUAAGAAACUAUUCAAUUGUUUUCAAACUGGGUUAUGAUAACUCCAUAUAUUAAUAUUAAUUUAUUUUUAUAAUUUACAGAUGUACUAAAGACGAAAGGAUUCAAAGGAACAGGAACUAAUAAUUGUAACUUUGCAAACAAAAAAAGACAUUAUUUAGAAAUAUAUCAGACGUCUUUCUCUGAGACCUUUGUUAUGCAAGAAACGGGAGGAAUAUUAAUGUCAAAAUGGUGUGAACAGAAUAUAAAAACUGACUCAGAGGCGGUGACAGAAAAACAGCAGUUAUUUACAUUAUUUCCAUCACUGACAACAAGUUG